AGCGAACGCUGGCGGCAGGCCUAACACAUGCAAGUCGAACGGAUCCUUCGGGAUUAGUGGCGGACGGGUGAGUAACACGUGGGAACGUGCCCUUUGGUUCGGAACAACUCAGGGAAACUUGAGCUAAUACCGGAUGUGCCCUUCGGGGGAAAGAUUUAUCGCCGAAGGAACGGCCCGCGUCCGAUUAGCUAGUUGGUGAGGUAAUGGCUCACCAAGGCGACGAUCGGUAGCUGGUCUGAGAGGAUGGCCAGCCUCACUGGGACUGAGACACGGCCCAGACUCCUACGGGAGGCAGCAGUGGGGAAUAUUGGACAAUGGGCGCAAGCCUGAUCCAGCCAUGCCGCGUGGAUGAUGAAGGCCUUAGGGUUGUAAAGUCCUUUUAACGGGGAAGAUAAUGACGGUACCCGUAGAAUAAGCCCCGGCUAAUUUCGUGCCAGCAGCCGCCGUAA
rnacentral:rRNA from 1 species